GAUGAACGCUGGCGGCGUGCCUAAUACAUGCAAGUCGAGCGAACAGACGAUGAGCUUGCUCCUCUGACGUUAGCGGCGGACGGGUGAGUAACACGUGGAUAACCUACCUAUAUGACUGGGAUAACUACGGGAAACCGGAGCUAAUACCGGAUAAUAUAUUGAACCGCAUGGUUCAAUAGUGAAAGACGGUUUUGCUGUCACUUAUAGAUGGAUCCGCGCCGCAUUAGCUAGUUGGUAAGGUAACGGCUUACCAAGGCAACGAUGCGUAGCCGACCUGAGAGGGUGAUCGGCCACACUGGAACUGAGACACGGUCCAGACUCCUACGGGAGGCAGCAGUAGGGAAUCUUCGGCAAUGGGCGAAAGCUUGACGGAGCAACGCCGCGUGAGUGAUGAAGGUCUUCGGAUCGUAAAACUCUGUUAUUAGGGAAGAACAAAUGUGUAAGUAACUAUGCACGUCUUGACGGUACCUAAUCAGAAAGCCACGGCUAACUACGUG
rnacentral:rRNA from 1 species